rnacentral:misc_RNA from 1 species
AAGUCGUAACAAGGUUUUUUGUAGGUAAACUUAUAGAAAGAUUAUUACCUUUCUAGCUAUUUAAUAGCUUGUCUAGAAGCUGUAGUUUCUGCAGUUUCUAACUAUAUUUGUGUUUUUUGCGUACUACAUAUUUUCUUAGCAGGCUUGCUUGCUAGUUAGACAAACUAAAACUUUUUGUAAUUAUAAUUAGCGUCUAAAUUAUAUAAUAAUUA